GACGAACGCUGGCGGCGUGCUUAACACAUGCAAGUCGAACGGAAAGGCCCUGCUUGCAGGGUACUCGAGUGGCGAACGGGUGAGUAACACGUGGGGGAUCUGCCCUGCACUUCGGGAUAAGCCUGGGAAACUGGGUCUAAUACCGGAGAGGAGACAUUUUUAGUGUGAUGGUUGGAAAGUUUUUUCGGUUUAGGCUGAGCUCGCGGCCUAUCAGCGUGUUGGUGUGGUAAUGGCCUACAAAGGCGGCGACGGGUAGCCGGCCUGGGAGGGUGGACGGCCACAGUGGGACUGGGACUCGGCCCCGACUCCGACUGGUGGGAGCAGUGGGGAUUGUUGCUCAAUCGGAGUGAGCCUGAUGCAGCGACGCCGCUUGCGCGUUGACGGCGUUCGGGUUGUAAUCUCCUUUCGCUAGGGACGAAGCUUUUUGUGACGGUACCUAGAUAAGAAGCCCCGGCUAACUACGUG
rnacentral:rRNA from 1 species